UACGAAGGGGGCUAGCGCUGCUCGGAAUUACUGGGCGUAAAGCGCGCGUAGGCGGGUCGUUAAGUCGGGGGUGAAAUCCUGGAGCUCAACUCCAGAACUGCCUUCGAUACUGGCGAUCUUGAGUCCGGGAGAGGUGAGUGGAACUCCGAGUGUAGAGGUGAAAUUCGUAGAUAUUCGGAAGAACACCAGUGGCGAAGGCGGCUCACUGGCCCGGUACUGACGCUGAGGUGCGAAAGCGUGGGGAGCAAACAGG
rnacentral:rRNA from 1 species